rnacentral:lncRNA from 1 species
GGAAUGAUGCAAUCCUACCUUGCAAGGGCAUUGGAUAGAAGACUCCAAGUAGAUUGGGCAAGAGAUCCAAGGGCAGGCCCUAGGGUUCUCAUGAGCCUUAGGGUAGAUUUUGAGCCCAUGGGCUAAGUAUGAUCCCACUUAUCUUUGUAAAUGUUAGAAUAGGUUUUUCCUUUGUUUGGGUCUUGUAUUUUGGCCAUUCUAGCAGUAUAGGGUUUUAGCCUUGUAUUUUGAGGCAUUUCGAGUAGUCUUUGUAGUAGGAAUUUUUUUGUAUUUUCAUGUAUUUUGUCAUGGGGGUGAGCUUAGCUAUUAUAGGGGGUGUGUAGCUAAGCUCUAGCUUCUUAUCUCAAGGAUGUGAGCUUAACUAUUAGAGGGGUGUGUGUAGCUAAGCACUAGCUUCUUUAGGAAUCUUCUCAAGGAGGUAAGCUUAGUUAUUAGAGGGGUGUGUAUAGCUAAGCUCUAGUUUCUCAAGGAAGUUUUCUCAAAGAAGCUUCUUAAGGAAGUUUUCUCAAGAAAGCUUCUCAAGGAAGCUACAUAGUCUAUAAAUAGAAACAUGUGUAAGACUUGUUGUAACUUUGAUGAAUGAGAGUCUUGUGAGGCACAACUCAAAGUUCAACU